AACGCGAAGAACCUUACCAAGGCUUGACAUCUGAGGAAAUUUCCAGAAAUGGAAAUGUGCCCGCAAGGGAACCUCAAGACAGGUGGUGCAUGGCUGUCGUCAGCUCGUGUCGUGAGAUGUUGGGUUAAGUCCCGCAACGAGCGCAACCCUUGUCCGAUGUUACCAGCGGGUUAUGCCGGGGACUCGUCGGAGACUGCCGGGGUCAACUCGGAGGAAGGUGGGGAUGACGUCAAGUCAUCAUGCCCCUUACGUCCAGGGCUGCACACAUGCUACAAUGGCCGGUACAACGGGCUGCUAUCCCGCGAGGGGGAGCCAAUCCCAAAAGCCGGUCUCAGUUCGGAUUGCAGUCUGCAACUCGACUGCAUGAAGUCGGAGUCGCUAGUAAUCCCGGAUCAGCAACGCCGGGGUGAAUACGUUCCCGGGCCUUGUACACACCGAUAGC
rnacentral:rRNA from 1 species